CGUACACUCCUACGGGAGGCAGCAGUGGGGAAUAUUGGACAAUGGGCGCAAGCCUGAUCCAGCCAUGCCGCGUGAGUGAUGAAGGCCCUAGGGUUGUAAAGCUCUUUCACCGGUGAAGAUAAUGACGGUAACCGGAGAAGAAGCCCCGGCUAACUUCGUGCCAGCAGCCGCGGUAAUACGAAGGGGGCUAGCGUUGUUCGGAUUUACUGGGCGUAAAGCGCACGUAGGCGGACUAUUAAGUCAGGGGUGAAAUCCCGGGGCUCAACCCCGGAACUGCCUUUGAUACUGGUAGUCUUGAGUUCGAGAGAGGUGAGUGGAAUUCCGAGUGUAGAGGUGAAAUUCGUAGAUAUUCGGAGGAACACCAGUGGCGAAGGCGGCUCACUGGCUCGAUACUGACGCUGAGGUGCGAAAGCGUGGGGAGCAAACAGGAUUAGAUACCCCUGUGUCCCAUGA
rnacentral:rRNA from 1 species